GUGCUCACUUCAGCAGCACGUAUACUAAAAUUGGAAUGAUACAGAGAAGAUUAGCAUGGCUCCUGUGCAAGGAUGACACGCAAAUUCAUGAAGCAUUCCAUAUUUUU
ensembl:snRNA U6 U6 spliceosomal RNA